UAUCCCGGAAACAAAACUCAACUUCAUUUUCUCCAGCCUAAACCUAGUAACCUCCACUUCACCCAAACAACAUAGCCUCCAUUGCAACACUCCAUCAUCUUCUCUUUCCUUCAAUCUCAACAACAUCCACCUUUAUUGUCACCUUCCAUAACCACAUAAACCACCAUAGUUAUGCAUUUGCCCGUCAUCCUUAACCUCAAUUCUCCAUCAAAAUCAAAAUCAAAUCAAACCAAACCCAACUGCAACCCAAAACACCAAUACCAUUUUCCUUAUAAUCCCAGUCGGUUUUUCCUCCAUUCAAAAACUCACUCAAGACUAUAGGUCACCCCUUUCAAGACUCACCAACCUCAUCCCACCAUCGCUCACUGUCUUUUUUAUAAAAUAAAACCUUAGCCACCACAGUACUAUCCUAACCAGUCCUAUAGAUCCAUAUUUUCCACCUUUCACAGCAUCCCUGUACCACACUACCCAAUCAUCCUUCUCACCAACAGACCCUAACAACCAUAGUUUUUCCUUCUUUUCCUAGUAAAAAUAACCAACAACACCCAAAAAUCCAUUAACCAAAAACAAGACCAUAGUAGACCAAAACCCAUUCAACCCACCCUUAUCAACAAACAAUCACCACCACAGGUUUCUCUUCACUGAUCUCAACCUUAUAAUCAUGAAAUCAUAACCACCUAUCUCCUACAAUCUCUUCAGUUUAAGCCAUUGUCCAGCCCAUAAAUAGUCUUGAUCUUGACACAAAAACAUAGCCACGACCCACCAUAAUCCCAACCCUCUUCCUCACUAAAAUCAACUUCAAUUAGAAGUUUAGUUCACCCAAACACUAGCCAUCAAAAAAGAAAUCAAAGCAACUAAAUUUCUGUUUUGUUUCUCACAUGUUUAUAGGUUAAUUUAGUUGGCAUGUGAUGAGCACACACGUCUCAUUCCAGCAAGUCCAAUUGAUCAGCAGGCUCUAUAAGAUUUUCUAGCAUCCUUUGAAGGUUUUUUACCCGCAAGGAGAGGCCAUAAGACCCAAUCAGCAGUAGGGGACUAUUUCACAUGCAUAAAUGUUAGACACUUUUGGAUGAAAGAUGCAAAAGGGAGUAAAUUGAAGGUAAUUGGCAGAUUUGACCUCCAGUCGAUGUUUUGUGCAGAGCGUGAGCUCUAGAGAUCGAAAUGAAGUGAUUCUAGUGGUAUUAAAAAGCUAACAUCCAUACCUUUCUGUAAAUCUAAGGCAAGAAAAUAAAAUAAGGAAGAGCAUGGAAAUCGCAGCCUUCAAAGUCAAAUCUUGUAAUCUGCCAAUGUUGACCUUCGACCAUUCUGACUUGAAUAUCUGGAGCUACAGAAAUCCAAUUGAUGAAAACUCAAUUGUUUUGGAUUCCUGACUCAAAGGUCUAUCAACGCUCACAAUUUCAGCCACAAAUGACAUCAUAUGAGGGAGAUAUGAGUUUUCAAAGAUGACAACUAAAUUCUGCCAGCAAACAAGUUUCGUGAAGAAACGAGUCCAAAUUAUGUUCUGAAGCAUCUAAACUGAUAUCCAAGUUUUUAUUUCAGCAAUUUAGCUCCUCUAAGUCAAAUCUUGAAGAUUUCAUGCAAGGCUAUUUCUUCUUUUUUAGAAAAAUAGUUAUUGAAGUACUUAAAUGUAAAUUGUCUACUUAAAGGAGGACUAUUUUGUAAAAUAGAGACUAAGGUUUCCUAGGAUAUAAAAAGAAUGAGAGAAGAGAAGGGGGGCAGCCAGCCAAGAAGAGAAAAACGCCCCCUUCUCCUCCACAAACCCGAAAUCAUGCAUUCCUCCUUUUUGAUUAGCUGUUCAAUAAACAUGUAAGGCUAAACUCUUUUUCUUGGUUGCAAGGACACGGAAACCUUCGGAUUUCAAGAACUAUAAGAUCUAUUUUACCUUUUCUUUUCAAUUUAUAUAAUGAAUAUGUUUAUUCUCC